CACGUAGGCGGUCUGCUAAGUUCGGAGUGACAGUCACCAGCUUAACUGGUGAAGUACUUUGAAAACUGGCGGACUUGAGAGCGAAAGAGGGACAUGGAAUUCCGGGUGGAGCAGUGAAAUGCGUAGAGAUCCGGAGGAACACCAAAGGCGAAGGCAGUGUCCUGGCUCGUUUCUGACGCUGAGGUGCGAAAGCCAGGGGAGCGAACGGGAUUAGAUACCCCGGUAGUCCUGGCCGUAAACGAUGACCACUAGGCGUGGGAGGGAUCGACCCCUUCCGUGCCGUAGUCAACACAUUAAGUGGUCCGCCUGGGGAGUACGGUCGCAAGACUAAA
rnacentral:rRNA from 1 species